UACGUGAGGUGGCAAGCGUUGUCCGGAUUUACUGGGCGUAAAGAGCGCGCAGGCGGUCGUUCAAGUCGGCGUGUGAAAGCCCCGGCUCAACUGGGAGGUCACGCGAUACUGAUCGACUCGAAGGCAGGAGAGGGUAGUGGAAUUCCCGGUGUAGUGGUGAAAUGCGUAGAUAUCGGGAGGACACCGAUGGCGAAGGCAGCCCCUGGC
rnacentral:rRNA from 1 species